UACGGAGGAUCCAAGCGUUAUCCGGAUUUAUUGGGUUUAAAGGGUGCGUAGGCGGCUUUUUAAGUCAGGGGUGAAAGACGGUGGCUCAACCAUCGCAGUGCCCUUGAUACUGAAGAGCUUGAAUGAACUAGAGGUAGGCGGAAUGUGACAAGUAGCGGUGAAAUGCAUAGAUAUGUCACAGAACACCGAUUGCGAAGGCAGCUUACUAUGGUUUAAUUGACGCUGAGGCACGAAAGCCAGGGGAGCAAACGGG
rnacentral:rRNA from 1 species